AGCCCGCUCGCCGGAAGACCAAGGGUUCCUGUCCAACGUUAAUCGGGGCAGGGUGAGUCGACCCCUAAGGCGAGGCCGAAAGGCGUAGUCGAUGGGAAACAGGUUAAUAUUCCUGUACUUGGUGUUACUGCGAAGGGGGGACGGAGAAGGCUAUGUUGGCCGGGCGACGGUUGUCCCGGUUUAAGCGUGUAGGCUGGUUUUCCAGGCAAAUCCGGAAAAUCAAGGCUGAGGCGUGAUGACGAGGCACUACGGUGCUGAAGCGACAAAUGCCCUGCUUCCAGGAAAAGCCUCUAAGCAUCAGGUAACAUCAAAUCGUACCCCAAACCGACACAGGUGGUCAGGUAGAGAAUACCAAGGCGCUUGAGAGAACUCGGGUGAAGGAACUAGGCAAAAUGGUGCCGUAACUUCGGGAGAAGGCACGCUGAUAUGUAGGUGAAGCGACUUGCUCGUGGAGCUGAAAUCAGUCGAAGAUACCAGCUGGCUGCAACUGUUUAUUAAAAACACAGCACUGUGCAAACACGAAAGUGGACGUAUACGGUGUGACGCCUGCCCGGUGCCGGAAGGUUAAUUGAUGGGGUUAGCGGUAACGCGAAGCUCUUGAUCGAAGCCCCGGUAAACGGCGGCCGUAACUAUAACGGUCCUAAGGUAGCGAAAUUCCUUGUCGGGUAAGUUCCGACCUGCACGAAUGGCGUAAUGAUGGCCAGGCUGUCUCCACCCGAGACUCAGUGAAAUUGAACUCGCUGUGAAGAUGCAGUGUACCCGCGGCAAGACGGAAAGACCCCGUGAACCUUUACUAUAGCUUGACACUGAACAUUGAGCCUUGAUGUGUAGGAUAGGUGGGAGGCUUUGAAGUGUGGACGCCAGUCUGCAUGGAGCCGACCUUGAAAUACCACCCUUUAAUGUUUGAUGUUCUAACGUGGGCCCCUUACCGGGGUUGCGGACAGUGUCUGGUGGGUAGUUUGACUGGGGCGGUCUCCUCCUAAAGAGUAACGGAGGAGCACGAAGGUUGGCUAAUCCUGGUCGGACAUCAGGAGGUUAGUGCAAUGGCAUAAGCCAGCUUGACUGCGAGCGUGACGGCGCGAGCAGGUGCGAAAGCAGGUCAUAGUGAUCCGGUGGUUCUGAAUGGAAGGGCCAUCGCUCAACGGAUAAAAGGUACUCCGGGGAUAACAGGCUGAUACCGCCCAAGAGUUCAUAUCGACGGCGGUGUUUGGCACCUCGAUGUCGGCUCAUCACAUCCUGGGGCUGAAGUAGGUCCCAAGGGUAUGGCUGUUCGCCAUUUAAAGUGGUACGCGAGCUGGGUUUAGAACGUCGUGAGACAGUUCGGUCCCUAUCUGCCGUGGGCGCUGGAGAACUGAGGGGGGCUGCUCCUAGUACGAGAGGACCGGAGUGGACGCAUCACUGGUGUUCGGGUUGUCAUGCCAAUGGCACUGCCCGGUAGCUAAAUGCGGAAGAGAUAAGUGCUGAAAGCAUCUAAGCACGAAACUUGCCCCGAGAUGAGUUCUCCCUGACUCCUUGAGAGUCCUGAAGGAACGUUGAAGACGACGACGUUGAUAGGCCGGGUGUGUAAGCGCAGCGAUGCGUUGAGCUAACCGGUACUAAUGAACCGUGAGGCUUAACC
rnacentral:rRNA from 1 species